rnacentral:lncRNA from 1 species
GCCUAUGUGUAGUGGGCCAUGAUCCCUUACACUUCGCUGUCAGCAAUGCAACCACUGUUAACUUCCUCCUAGUCUUCAGCGAAACUGCUGGUAACUUCCUCCUAGUCAUCAUCGAAACUGCUGGUAACUUCCUCCUAGUCAUCGUCGAAACNGCAGGCUGCAGGUCCUAAUAUCUCGCCGAGACCUUCGCUCCACUCCUUACUUCUCAACGNAUUAUUAUGCCAACUUAACAUGAUAUAUCCCGAGCAGGGCUUCGGUCUUCCCGAUCACCCUACCGGCUCACCCGAACAACCCGACCUCUUCAAUCAUAAUGCUAUUCAUCUUUUUAUGCUUUGCUCAACAUAAUUCCCUCAACAAUUCUCCCGACCGCACUACCGGUGCACCCGAUCAUCUAUAUCAACUAGUAUAUGAGGGUAUUUGAUUCAUUCCUCCAUAUACCCGAUCACACUACCGGUGUGACCGAUCGUCCGAAUGUAUCCCAUCUCUUCAAUACACAUAAGUCCCCCGAGCCCCAAGCGUUCGCAGUACGCGAAGGGGUUUGUAUAUGCCAUUUCCCGCCAAUUAUAUAAUUUGAAACUUGGAGUGAUGAGAGCCACACGAUGAGCAGGGUUUGAAUGGUUCAGAUGCAUUGUGGAGGUUUGUACCUAGAAAUCUGAAACGCCACCUUAUCUGCACCGUUAGAUGUUACCUUCGUGAACGGUUGCGAUGAACUGCCGAAACCGCUUUAUGCGGCUAUAAAUAGGGGGUGGUCUCUUGCCAUUUGUCUGCUUCUGAGAUUUGCUGCUAGCGCCCCCCGAUCAGUCAACUCGCCAUCUCAGUCGUCUGUCCAGGUACAUGUCUCUAUCAUCUGUCAUCCAGUAGGUCUAGGAGGGAAGGG